GGGGGGAGGCCGGAUCCUGGACUGUGUCCCCGGCGCCCUGGGCUCCAGGGCCUGCGCCGCUGGAAUCGCCCCUCCUGUGGUUCUGCCUGGUUUCCC
rnacentral:pre_miRNA from 1 species